AUUUUAUGUUAAUUCUUUAGAGUGAUAUAAGGGGUUCCCACUCAGGUGGUUUGUAGCGGUUACGCUACCACACAUAUCAAUUCACUGUGUAUAUUACUUUUCUCUACAAACAGUCAAUCAGCCUAGUCUUACUUAUAUCUCAAUAAUUUCAUUUUAAUUAACCUGAAGCUCUAUAGAAGAGCAUACAUUCUGUUCAAUUGCUAGCUCUGCUCAUGCUCAGGACCUCCUUUUGAAAACCGCAACUUUCGCGGAGAUACCAAAUUCC